CAGUCGCCGCGGUAAUACGUAGGUGGCAAGCGUUGUCCGGAAUUAUUGGGCGUAAAGCGCGCGCAGGUGGUUUAAUAAGUCUGAUGUGAAAGCCCACGGCUCAACCGUGGAGGGUCAUUGGAAACUGUUAAACUUGAGUGCAGGAGAGAAAAGUGGAAUUCCUAGUGUAGCGGUGAAAUGCGUAGAGAUUAGGAGGAACACCAGUGGCAAAGGCGGCUUUUUGGCCUGUAACUGACACUGAGGCGCGAAAGCGUGGGGAGCAAACAGGAUUAGAUACCCCAGUAGUCCCUGUCUCUUAUAA
rnacentral:rRNA from 1 species